rnacentral:piRNA from 1 species
UGACAACUCUCACGUGUAUGUGUGGAGUGU